UACGUAGGGUGCAAGCGUUAAUCGGAAUUACUGGGCGUAAAGCGUGCGCAGGCGGUUAUGUAAGACAGGUGUGAAAUCCCCGGGCUUAACCUGGGAACUGCAUUUGUGACUGCAUAGCUAGAGUACGGUAGAGGGGGAUGGAAUUCCGCGUGUAGCAGUGAAAUGCGUAGAUAUCGGAAGGAACAUCAGUGGCGAAAGCGGCUUCCUGGACCAGUACCGACGUUCAGGCACGAAAGCGUGGGGAGCAAACAGG
rnacentral:rRNA from 1 species